GGCAGCAGUAGGGAAUCUUCCGCAAUGGACGAAAGUCUGACGGAGCAACGCCGCGUGAGUGAUGAAGGUUUUCGGAUCGUAAAACUCUGUUGUUAGGGAAGAACAAGUACCGUUCGAAUAGGGCGGUACCUUGACGGUACCUAACCGGAAAGCCACGGCUAACUACGUGCCAGCAGCCGCGGUAAUACGUAGGUGGCAAGCGUUGUCCGGAAUUAUUGGGCGUAAAGCGCGCGCAGGCGGUUUCUUAAGUCUGAUGUGAAAGCCCCCGGCUCAACCGGGGAGGGUCAUUGGAAACUGGGGAACUUGAGUGCAGAAGAGGAGAGUGGAAUUCCACGUGUAGCGGUGAAAUGCGUAGAGAUGUGGAGGAACACCAGUGGCGAAGGCGACUCUCUGGUCUGUAACUGACGCUGAGGCG
rnacentral:rRNA from 1 species